GGGGAUAUAGCUCAGUUGGUAGAGUGCUUGCCUUGCAUGCAUAAGGCCCUGGGUUCAAUCCCCAACCCA
rnacentral:tRNA from 1 species